UAAGGAAUAUUGGUCAAUGGAGGCAACUCUGAACCAGCCAUGCCGCGUGCAGGAAGACGGCCCUACGGGUUGUAAACUGCUUUUGCAGGGGAAUAAACCCCCGUAUGUAUACGGGGUUGAAUGUACUCUGAGAAUAAGGAUCGGCUAACUCCGUGCCAGCAGCCGCGGUAAUACGGAGGAUCCAAGCGUUAUCCGGAUUUAUUGGGUUUAAAGGGUGCGUAGGCGGCCUUGUAAGUCAGGGGUGAAAUCUUUCGGCUCAACCGGAAGCUUGCCUUUGAUACUGCAGGGCUUGAAUGAACCUGAGGUAGGCGGAAUGUGACAAGUAGCGGUGAAAUGCAUAGAUAUGUCACAGAACACCAAUUGCGAAGGCAGCUUACUAAAGUUUAAUUGACGCUGAGGCACGAAAGCGUGGGGAUCAAACA
rnacentral:rRNA from 1 species